rnacentral:lncRNA from 1 species
AAGAUAACAUGAAAUGUAAUCAUGGUGUUCUUCAUACAUACAUUUUCAGCAAAGACUCUUUUCUCUCGCUCCGGUACUUUGAGUAUUUUUAGUGAAUUUUGUAUAUCUGUUUGAACACACGAAAUCUAAAAAGUAAGAUUCCUAUUUAUAAUAAUUCGACCCUAACGGUCUCUACACAGAUGAUUGCCACGUUCGACGUUUUCAAGCGCUGCGUGUCUCAGAUGCUUCCACGCAUUCGCCUGACGAAACUACUUCGUUU